rnacentral:rRNA from 1 species
GACGAACGCUGGCGGCGUGCCUAAUACAUGCAAGUCGAACGCAGUGGGGACGGGUGAGUAACACGUGGGUAACCUCCCAUCAGAGGGGAUAACACUUGGAAACAGGUGCUAAACCGAUACUGUUGGAUUGACCCGCGGUGCAUGAGCUAGUUGGUGAGGUAACGGCUCACCAAGGCCACGAUGCAUAGCCGGCCUGAGAGGGUGAUCGUCCACACUGGGACUGAGACACGGCCCAGACUCCUACGGGAGGCAGCAGUAGGGAAUCUUCGGCAAUGGACGAAAGUCUGACCGAGCAACGACGCGUGAGUGAAGAAGGUUUUAGGAUCGUAAAACACUGUUGGUAGAGAAGCGGUAAGUAAAGAGAAAGCCACGGCUAACUACGUGCCAGCAGCCGCGGUAAUAG